rnacentral:rRNA from 1 species
GACGAACGCUGGCGGCGUGCUUAACACAUGCAAGUCGAACGGAAAGGCCCUGCUUUUGUGGGGUGCUCGAGUGGCGAACGGGUGAGUAACACGUGAGUAACCUGCCCUUGACUUUGGGAUAACUUCAGGAAACUGGGGCUAAUACCGGAUAGGAGCUCCUGCUGCAUGGUGGGGGUUGGAGAGUUUCGGCGGUUGGGGAUGGACUCGCGGCUUAUCAGCUUGUUGGUGGGGUAGUGGCUUACCAAGGCUUUGACGGGUAGCCGGCCUGAGAGGGUGACCGGCCACAUUGGGACUGAGAUACGGCCCAGACUCCUACGGGAGGCAGCAGUGGGGAAUAUUGCACAAUGGGCGGAAGCCUGAUGCAGCAACGCCGCGUGCGGGAUGACGGCCUUCGGGUUGUAAACCGCUUUCGCCUGUGACGAAGCGUGAGUGACGGUAAUGGGUAAAGAAGCACCGGCUAACUACGUGCCAGCAGCCGCGGUGAUACGUAGGGUGCGAGCGUUGUCCGGAUUUAUUGGGCGUAAAGGGCUCGUAGGUGGUUGAUCGCGUCGGAAGUGUAAUCUUGGGGCUUAACCCUGAGCGUGCUUUCGAUACGGGUUGACUUGAGGAAGGUAGGGGAGAAUGGAAUUCCUGGUGGAGCGGUGGAAUGCGCAGAUAUCAGGAGGAACACCAGUGGCGAAGGCGGUUCUCUGGGCCUUUCCUGACGCUGAGGAGCGGAAGCGUGGGGAGCGAACAGGCUUAGAUACCCUGGUAGUCCACGCUGUAAACGGUGGGUACUAGGUGUGGGGUCCAUUCCACGGGUUCCGUGCCGUAGCUAACGCUUUAAGUACCCCGCCUGGGGAGUACGGCCGCAAGGCUAAAACUCAAAGGAAUUGACGGGGCCCCGCACAAGCGGCGGAACAUGCGGAUUAAUUCGAUGCAACGCGUAGAACCUUACCUGGGUUUGACAUGGAUCGGGAGUGCUCAGAGAUGGGUGUGCCUCUUUUGGGGUCGGUUCACAGGUGGUGCAUGGCUGUCGUCAGCUCGUGUCGUGAGAUGUUGGGUUAAGUCCCGCAACGAGCGCAACCCUUGUUCACUGUUGCCAGCACGUUAUGGUGGGGACUCAGUGGAGACCGCCGGGGUCAACUCGGAGGAAGGUGGGGAUGACGUCAAGUCAUCAUGCCCCUUAUGUCCAGGGCUUCACGCAUGCUACAAUGGCUGGUACAGAGAGUGGCGAGCCUGUGAGGGUGAGCGAAUCUCGGAAAGCCGGUCUCAGUUCGGAUUGGGGUCUGCAACUCGACCUCAUGAAGUCGGAGUCGCUAGUAAUCGCAGAUCAGCAACGCUGCGGUGAAUACGUUCCCGGG